CCCGCACAAGCGGUGGAGCAUGUGGUUUAAUUCGACGCAACGCGAAGAACCUUACCUGGCCUUGACAUCCUGCGAACUUUCUAGAGAUAGAUUGGUGCCUUCGGGAACGCAGUGACAGGUGCUGCAUGGCCGUCGUCAGCUCGUGUCGUGAGAUGUUGGGUUAAGUCCCGUAACGAGCGCAACCCCUAUCCCUAGUUGCUAGCAGUUCGGCUGAGAACUCUAGGGAGACUGCCGGUGACAAACCGGAGGAAGGUGGGGAUGACGUCAGGUCAUCAUGGCCCUUACGGCCAGGGCUACACACGUGCUACAAUGGCGCGCACAGAGGGCUGCAAACCCGCGAGGGUAAGCCAAUCUCUUAAAACGCGUCGUAGUCCGGAUCGCAGUCUGCGACUCGACUGCGUGAAGUCGGAAUCGCUAGUAAUCGCGAAUCAGAAUGUCGCGGUGAAUACGUUCCCGGGCCUUGUACACACCGCCCGUCACACCAUGGGAGUGGAUUGCACCAGAAGUGGUUAGUCUAACCUUCGGGAGGACGAUCACCACGGUGUGGUUCAUGACUGGGGUGAAGUCG
rnacentral:rRNA from 1 species